UAGAGGGGAUGCAGAAGAUGGAGAAGA
rnacentral:piRNA from 1 species